UACGAAGGGGGCUAGCGUUGCUCGGAAUCACUGGGCGUAAAGCGCACGUAGGCGGCUUUCUAAGUCAGGGGUGAAAUCCUGGAGCUCAACUCCAGAACUGCCUUUGAUACUGGAGUGCUUGAGUCCGGGAGAGGUGAGUGGAACUGCGAGUGUAGAGGUGAAAUUCGUAGAUAUUCGCAAGAACACCAGUGGCGAAGGCGGCUCACUGGCCCGGUACUGACGCUGAGGCACGAAAGCGUGGGGAGCAAACGGGG
rnacentral:rRNA from 1 species